rnacentral:ncRNA from 2 species
GGUCGCCUUCGGGGUCAGGUGAAAUUCCUAACCGGCGGUGAUGAAGCGUUGCUUCUUAGUCCGUGACCCGGUUAACAUAUUAUUGUUAAACGGUGGAUCUGGUGAAACUCCAGAGCCGACAGUUAAAGUCUGGAUGGGAGAAGGAAAAG